UUACCGGCGGUCUCUAAUUCGCUUGGUGCAGGUCGGGAACCGGUUCGCUUGGUGAUGCCACAUGGCUUUUUCUGAUUGGGUUGUCAGAUUGCGAAAUGGAUCCCGCCUUGCAUCAACUGAAUCGGAUACCGCGGUGAAG
rnacentral:pre_miRNA from 1 species